rnacentral:rRNA from 1 species
AGUUUGAUCCUGGCUCAGGAUGAACGCUAGCUACAGGCUUAACACAUGCAAGUCGAGGGGCAGCAUGAACUUAGCUUGCUAAGUUUGAUGGCGACCGGCGCACGGGUGAGUAACACGUAUCCAACCUUCCGUUUACUCAGGGAUAGCCUUUCGAACGAAAGAUUAAUACCUGAUAGUAUGGUGAGAUUGCAUGAUAACACCAUUAAAGAUUUAUUGGUAAACGAUGGGGAUGCGUUCCAUUAGGUAGUAGGCGGGGUAACGGCCCACCUAGCCUGCGAUGGAUAGGGGUUCUGAGAGGAAGGUCCCCCACAUUGGAACUGAGACACGGUCCAAACUCCUACGGGAGGCAGCAGUGAGGAAUAUUGGUCAAUGGGCGAGAGCCUGAACCAGCCAAGUAGCGUGAAGGAUGAAGGUCCUACGGAUUGUAAACUUCUUUUAUACGGGAAUAAAGUUUCCUACGUGUAGGAUUUUGUAUGUACCGUAUGAAUAAGCAUCGGCUAACUCCGUGCCAGCAGCCGCGGUAAUACGGAGGAUGCGAGCGUUAUCCGGAUUUAUUGGGUUUAAAGGGAGCGCAGACGGGAGAUUAAGUCAGUUGUGAAAGUUUGCGGCUCAACCGUAAAAUUGCAGUUGAUACUGGUUUCCUUGAGUGCAGUUGAGGCAGGCGGAAUUCGUGGUGUAGCGGUGAAAUGCUUAGAUAUCACGAAGAACCCCGAUUGCGAAGGCAGCUUGCUAAACUGUAACUGACGUUCAUGCUCGAAAGUGUGGGUAUCAAACAGGAUUAGAUACCCUGGUAGUCCACACGGUAAACGAUGGAUACUCGCUGUUGGCGAUAUACUGUCAGCGGCCAAGCGAAAGCAUUAAGUAUCCCACCUGGGGAGUACGCCGGCAACGGUGAAACUCAAAUGAAUUGACGG